UUUGGAGACCGUCAAUGGACAAAUCGUAUUUGCAGAUCGUCUUCUCUUGCAAACUGCUUCACUGCAAGAAAUUCAAACGACUAUGUUGUUUGGUUCGAGGAUGUAAGAGGAAAGUUUCCAAAGGAUGUAGUUGAUAAAUGAUGCACCCUUCUCUAGUUUCUGUGGAAGGAGCGUAAUGCUCAUCUAUUGAAUGAUAAUCGAUUACCGGAAGGGGAGAUAACGGGACGAGCAACAAGCUUCCCCGAUAACUAUCGAAACGCCAACCAACAAGCAGAUAGGGAGCCGAUGCCUUCUUUGUUUCUUGGUUGGAGAAUACCAAAGCCUGACUUUGUGAAACUCAAUUCGGAUGCUGGAAUACUCGGUACUGAUGGUAUGGAGGCACGGAUUGUUCUUAGAGAUGAAGCUGGAAAGUUCUUAUUGGCAGGUGUUUUGAAACUUUCAGGGGUUUGGGAGAUUGCCCAGGUUGAAGCAAUGACUUUAGAAUUUGGUAUUGUGGAGUUGGAAUGUGAUAGUAGUAUGGUGAUUGAUG
rnacentral:lncRNA from 1 species